rnacentral:lncRNA from 1 species
CACAUAUAAAUAUCAAUCACCCCUCCCCCCAUUUUGAUGGCUGAUGCCCUAGAAAAAAAUACUGUAUGCGCCAUUAUCACCACCGUGGAUCUUAAUUCCGCUUCGUUUCUCGAUUGUGUGGAUUGAUUUUUUUUAUACUGCAAUGGUUUUUAGUUAAUCGAUUGAUCUACCUUGUCUAAUGAGUCGUUUAUGUUUUGUUAGGGCCCCCAAUUCCGGAAUAAACUGGACAACGCGGACGUAAUCGACAACUUCCGGCGAUAUAACUGCACCAUUUUCGUUGUCAGGUUAGUUCCCAAAUAUCGUGUCUGAUUUUCCACCACUGUAGGUUAGUUCUUGGUGAAAUGAAAUUAUUUAUUUUUUUAAGCUCCAUAAAACUGUAAGGUAGCCUGCAAAAUAUUGAAACUUUGGUGAUGGUUCGAAUGAUUCUCGAAGGCCGCUACUUCGGCAACUAAUAUACCAUUUAAUCACAACGAAACAACCAAAUUUUCCGUAAUCAGACACCAUCUUGCCACGUUAUUUGCAUUUGAGACAUUAUGAUUCUUCUUUAAUUUCAUUUUGUGGUAGACAUUAUAAAUUCUAUGUAAUAUGACUCAAGAUAUUUGGUAGAUUUUAGCUACUGCAACUGAUACGUAUAAUUAUUAAAUUAGUAGAAAGAAUUAGUCAAAUUAAUUAGUUAGUGGGUAGUUCAAUUUUAGUUAAUCAUUUCCAUAGAAAUAGGCUGUUACUUCAUGUUUUAAUGUCACGUUAAUGCAUUUUUUAGUGGGGUUUAUAUAUGGGUUAGUUUAUGGGCUAUGAAUUGUCCUAUAAAUGGACUAUUAGCAAGAAUGAAAAGUAUUAUGAAGUUUAAGAAUCAAUUAAUUUCCUGUUGUCUUCUCUUAAUUCCCCUUUCUAAUUAUU